CCUACGGGUGGCAGCAGUGAGGAAUAUUGGUCAAUGGGCGAGAGCCUGAACCAGCAAAGUCGCGUGAAGGAUGAAGGAUCUAUGGUUUGUAAACUUCUUUUAUAUGGGAAUUAAGUGAGGAACGUGUUCCUUUUUGUAUGUACAAUAUGAAUAAGCCUCGGCUAACUCCGUGCCAGCAGCCGCGGUAAUACGGAGGAUGCGAGCGUUAUCCGGAUUUAUUGGGUUUAAAGGGUGCGUAGGUGGUUUAUUAAGUCAGCGGUGAAAGUUUGUGGCUCAACCAUAAAAUUGCCGUUGAAACUGGUUGACUUGAGUAUAUUUGAGGUAGGCGGAAUGCGUGGUGUAGCGGUGAAAUGCAUAGAUAUCAAGCAGAACCCCGAUUGCGAAGGCAGCUCACUGGACUGCAACUGACACUGAGGCUCGAAAGUGUGGGUAUCAAACAGGAUUAGAUACCCCUAUAGUC
rnacentral:rRNA from 1 species